UACGGAGGGUGCAAGCGUUAUCCGGAUUCACUGGGUUUAAAGGGUGCGUAGGUGGGCAGGUAAGUCAGUGGUGAAAUCUCCGGGCUUAACUCGGAAACUGCCAUUGAUACUAUCUUUCUUGAAUACCGUGGAGGUCAGCGGAAUAUGUCAUGUAGCGGUGAAAUGCUUAGAUAUGACAUAGAACACCAAUUGCGAAGGCAGCUCACUACGCAACAAUUGACGCUGAGGCACGAAAGCGUGGGGAUCAAACAGG
rnacentral:rRNA from 1 species